rnacentral:rRNA from 1 species
GUGGGGAAUAUUGGACAAUGGGCGCAAGCCUGAUCCAGCAAUGCCGCGUGCAGGAAGAAGGCCUUCGGGUUGUAAACUGCUUUUGUACGGAACGAAACGGUCCUGGCUAAUAUCCGGGGCUAAUGACGGUACCGUAAGAAUAAGCACCGGCUAACUACGUGCCAGCAGCCGCGGUAAUACGUAGGGUGCGAGCGUUAAUCGGAAUUACUGGGCGUAAAGCGUGCGCAGGCGGUGCUGUAAGACAGGCGUGAAAUCCCCGGGCUCAACCUGAGAAUUGCGCUUGUGACUGCAGUGCUGGAGUGCGGCAGAGGGGGAUGGAAUUCCGCGUGUAGCAGUGAAAUGCGUAGAUAUGCGGAGGAACACCGAUGGCGAAGGCAAUCCCCUGGGCCUGCACUGACGCUCAUGCACGAAAGCGUGGGGAGCAAACAGGAUUAGAAACCCUUGUAGUCC